UUAAAUCAGUCAAUCUUCCUGAAAAUGUGUGAAUACAACAUUUGGAGACUCUAAGCCUCAUGAAAAAUUGUUACUGUGAAAUUUGAAAGAAACUGUUUAAACAAAAAGAUGAGCAUUUCAAGUAUACUCAAAUGCACAAACAUAGCAUCAUCACAAAGUCUCACACUGGAUUGAACAUACCCUAUUCUGACUUCCAUGCUUAGUACAAGGGCUUUCAGCACACACAUAAAUUCGAAAACGAGACCAUCCCUCAAAAUUACUUAGAACAUGUAAACAGAACCAACUUCAGAAUGGUGCACCAAACGAACUUCAAAAGAAUCAAAUCAGUGCUGAAAAGGGAAACAUAACGAGAGCCAAGCUAAAACACAUUUAUAAAUGGCAAACUUGUCCAAACGAGGGUUCCUAAACAAACCUUACUAAAUAAUAUCCAAACAGAACUUAGUAUAAAGACGGUCUCAAAUCCGAUCAGAAUACAACGACAAUGAAAAAAGUAACAAACUUAAUAUCUUAAGCCUUGUCAGCCUUGGCAGCAGUAGCAGCAGCUUGACCACGAAGACGACCAGUUCUCCUUGCAGCAAUAAGACCAACCUUCUGUCCAGGUGGUGCAUCACGGCGGACAGUACUGGCAUGACCAAUAUGUUGAUGGUUACCACCACCAUGAGGAUGCUCCACAGGAUUCAUAGCAACACCACGAACCUUAGGCCAGCAGUUCCUCUUAACCCGGUAUUUGUGGUAUGCAUUUCCAGCUUUGAGCAUUGGUUUCUCAGUUCUUCCUCCACCAGCAACCUGGCCAAUCAUGGCUCUACACCCACUGGGCACAAUCUUCUUUGCUCCAGAUGGAAGCUUAAUCCUGAAACGAAAAGAAGAGUCAACUAUAGUCAAACAAACUUUAAAAUCAUCUCUAUAGACUUUUUUUAGAAAGGUAACAAUGAAAAAUCACCUCUAUAGACUACUAGACUUAGUAAUGACAAUCAAAACUCCACAACAAACCAUUAAUGUACAAAAGACUCGUCGUCAAUGCAGCGAUCAUAUUAAUCUAAGCUGAGUUUUAAGUGUAAAGAAAACAGGCACCAAUAAACAAAGUUUAAAAAUCAAUGAAAUUUACGCCAACAAGUACAGGUUACCACCACCAUGAGGAUGCUCCACAGGAUUCAUAGCAACACCACGAACCUUAGGCCAGCAGUUCCUCUUAACCCGGUAUUUGUGGUAUGCAUUUCCAGCUUUGAGCAUUGGUUUCUCAGUUCUUCCUCCACCAGCAACCUGGCCAAUCAUGGCUCUACACCCACUGG
rnacentral:lncRNA from 1 species